rnacentral:rRNA from 1 species
GAUAGAACAGACUAACCUGUAGGCAAAAAGCAAAGAUUGUACUUUCUACCUUUUGCAUAAUGAUUUAGCUAGUCAAACCGGACAAAAAGAAUGAAAGCCGGCCUUUCCGAAAUUAAGUUGUCAGAACGAACUCGUCUAUGUAACAAAAUAGUGAGAUGAUUUUACAAUAGAGGUGAAAAGCCUAUCGAACUUAAUGAUAGCUGGUUAUCAAAAAAACAAAUAUAAGUUCAACUUUAAAUUUAAUUCAAGUACUAACAACACUAUUUAAAUUUAAAUGUUACUCAAAAGAGGGACAACUCUUUUGACAUGUAGACAAACUUACCUAGAGGAUAAUGAAACACACACAAAAUAUUGUAGGCCUAAGAGCAGCCAUCAAUUAAGAAAGCAUUAAAGCUCAAACUUACCUAACAUUUAAUACCUAAUAUUUAAUCAAUCAAAAUCCCUAAGCUCUAUAUUGGACAAUUCUAUAACCAUUUAGAAGAUAUAAUGCUAAUAUGAGUAACCUGAACAUAUUCUCCUUGCACAAGCAUAAAUAUAGAUCGGAACAACCACUUACACUUAACCAAACAAAUAAUUAUAACCACAUACUAGCACCCUAUUACACAUACUGUUAAUUCAGCCCAGGAAUGCAUAUAAAGGAAAGAUUAAAAGGAAUAAAAGGAACUCGGCAAACAUGAACCCUGCCUGUUUACCAAAAACAUCACCUCUAGCAUUUACCAGUAUUAGAGGCACUGCCUGUCUGGUGAGUUGUGACUUUAACGGCUGCAGUAUCCUGACCGUGCAAAGGUAGCAUAAUCAUUCGUCUCUUAAUUGGGGACUAGUAUGAAUGGCACAACAAGGGUUCAACUGUCUCUUAUUCCCAAUUAGUGAAAUUGACCUUUCCGUGCAGAGGCAGGAAUGCUUAUACAAGACAAGAAGACCCUGUGGAACUUAAGUCGUAUAAUUCAACACAUACUAACAUCCAACCUAUCGGAACAAACUGUAUAAGCCACUGAGUUCAAAGACUAUAGUCUUUGGUUGGGGUGACCUCGGAACAUAAAACAACCUCCGAAUGAAUAUAACCUAGAUUAACCAAUCUAAAUGUAACAAUAACAGUAAUUAACCCAUCUCUUGAUUGACAGAACAAGUUACCCCAGGGAUAACAGCGCAAUCCUAUUUGAGAGCCCAUAUCGAAAAUUAGGGUUUACGACCCGAUGUUGGAUCAGGACACCCAAAUGGUGCAACCGCUAUUAAAGGUUCGUUUGUUCAACGAUUAAAGUCCCACGUGAUCUGAGUUCAGACAGGAGAAAUCCAGGUCGGUUUCUAUCUGUAAAUUCAUUUCUCCCAGUACGAAAGGACAAGAGAAAUAGGGCCAACGUCCCCAAUAAGCCCUAGAACUAACAUAUGAAUCAAUCUAAAUAUACUAACUCAAUUUAUACUUCUCCCCAAGAACAGGGCUAUUAAGAUGGCAGAGUUGAUAAUCGCAUAAAGUUUAAGCCUUUACUCCCAGAGGUUCAAACCC